rnacentral:lncRNA from 1 species
UAAAUAAAGUCAACUAUUUCUCUUUUCAUCCCUUCUACUAAAAUCAGGGUCGCAUACUUUGAUACAUCUUAGUGCUUCCGAGAUGCAUGGCAAACUUUGAGCAAUGGGCCUCUAUCAUGAUGUCCCUUUUCAACUCACUAUCACCUGAAACACACACUUUGUCCUAAAAUCUGAACAACCCAUCGGGAUAGACUCAGAAUUCUGAGUUAACUCCCUAUUCUACAUCUUUCUUGAUGGCUGCU